rnacentral:rRNA from 1 species
CCUACGGGAGGCAGCAGUGGGGAAUAUUGGACAAUGGGCGCAAGCCUGAUCCAGCAAUGCCGCGUGAGUGAUGAAGGCCUUAGGGUUGUAAAGCUCUUUUACCAGGGAUGAUAAUGACAGUACCUGGAGAAUAAGCUCCGGCUAACUCCGUGCCAGCAGCCGCGGUAAUACGGAGGGAGCUAGCGUUGUUCGGAAUUACUGGGCGUAAAGCGUACGUAGGCGGUUAUUCAAGUCAGAGGUGAAAGCCCGGGGCUCAACCCCGGAACUGCCUUUGAAACUAGGUAGCUAGAAUCUUGGAGAGGUCAGUGGAAUUCCGAGUGUAGAGGUGAAAUUCGUAGAUAUUCGGAAGAACACCAGUGGCGAAGGCGACUGACUGGACAAGUAUUGACGCUGAGGUACGAAAGCGUGGGGAGCAAACAGGAUUAGAUACCCUGGUAGUCCACGCCGUAAACGAUGAUAACUAGCUGUCCGGUCACUUGGUGACUGGGUGGCGCAGCUACGACAUUAAGUUAUCCGUCCGUCGGGUAGGUACGGUCGGCGAGAAGUAAACUACGAAGAAGUAGUACGGCGUGAGACGUAGCCGAACGGACGACGACGAGGGAGGUAGG